GAAGAAGAACGUAGCGAAAUGCGAUAAGUAGUGUGAAUUGCAGAAUUCAGUGAAUCAUCGAAUCUUUGAACGCACAUUGCGCCCUUUGGUAUUCCUUAGGGCAUGCCUGUUCGAGCGUCAUUUAAACCUUCAAGCUAAGCUUGGUGUUGGGUGACUGUCCGCUUCACGGCGGACUCGCCUCAAAAUUAUUGGCGGCCGGUACAUUGGCUUCGAGCGCAGCAGAAACGCGAACUCGGGCCCGUCGUAUUGGCUCCCAGAAGCUAUCUUCACAAUUUUGACCUCGGAUCAGGUAGGGAUACCCGCUGAACUUAAGCAUAUCAAUAAGCGGAGGA
rnacentral:misc_RNA from 1 species